AAGAUCAUACUUCACAGGAUCAUUUCUGUAGUAUAUCUUCACAUUCUCUCUACCCAAUAGUAGAGCGAACGCAACCACGAUGAAGAGGUAUAGCCUUUCUUCCUGAGCGUGAGGGCGACUGCAGAGCUUGACUUUGUCAGGCUCUCGGUCAUCGAUGAUCGUUCACUCCUUGUACAAAGUGCGAGGAGCAGGGAAGAAAGGCAUUCUGAGUGGU